UUAAAAGUCACCUCUUUUGUUGUUGUUGUUUUGUUUGCUUUUGCCUUUUGAGACAGGAUCUCACUAUGUAGUGCAGGCUGGGCUUGAACUCACUAUGUAGUCCAGGCUGGCCUCGAACUUCUGAUCCUCCUGCCUCAGCCUUCUGUGUGCUGGGAUUACAGUCUCCAGCACCUCAAGCGUAGCAAGUUUGUGGGUUUCUAAAGGCAUGCAGUUUUUCACACACACCUACUUCAAAGAAUUUGUCCGCUCGAACACAGCACAAUCAAGGAAAAAUAUUUUUUGGAGGCACAAGAGGAGCACAAGAACAAGCAUGCCUUUGACCAUUUCUGAUAAUGGCACCAGUGGCUGGGCAGAGCCCACAACCAGCUUACUUGGUGACAGUAUCCAGGCCUGGUCUCUGCAGUGGGCCAAGGCUUAGGGGU
ensembl:lncRNA